rnacentral:rRNA from 1 species
GACGGAGGAUGCAAGUGUUAUCCGGAAUCACUGGGCGUAAAGCGUCUGUAGGUGGUUCAAUAAGUCAACUGUUAAAUCUUGAGGCUCAACUUCAAAAUCGCAGUCGAAGCUAUUGGACUCGAGUAUAGUAGGGGUAAAGGGAAUUUCCAGUGGAGCGGUGAAAUGCGUAGAGAUUGGAAAGAACACCAAUGGCGAAAGCACUUUACUGGGCUAUUACUGACACUGAGAGA